CAGUCUCCGCUGUGCACGGCUCCGAGUGAGUCUGUUCUCAGCUGAAGUGCAGACCGGUGAAAAACAGUGAGCGGAUAGUUAGAGCAAACUGGGGUUAGUAUCUUGCCCAAGGAUGCUUGACAUGCAGACUGGAGGAGCCAGGGAUCGAACCACCAACCUUCCGAUCAGUAGGUGACCUGCUCUACCUCCGGAGCUACAGCCACCCCACCCAGGACUCUCAUUGUACUGCCUCAGCAAAUAGCACAGCUUCAACGUCAUUUAAGUUUUUUCCUGCUCGCACAGAACGAUAAGGUUACGAAACCACAGAAGAUUACCGUUUCACUCCCUCAAUCCAGUCUUGAGUCUUUUCCAAAUGGGUUUGAUAUUCAAAUUUGUAUGCUUGGCAUUUGCUUUUCCCUGCUGCAGCCACAAAAUGAGGUAAAAAGUGGGGAAAGUGAACCAGAACACUGAAUUAGUAAGCCAUAUGACUGUAUAACCUUGUUUGCCAGAAUGAUAGAGUAAUCCUUGAGACGUGA
ensembl:lncRNA